rnacentral:lncRNA from 10 species
GCUAGUGAGGGAAGUCUUUCCUGCCAGGAGAUGUUCAUUGAAGUGCAGACUGCUCGGAGCCACACCGCAGGCUGGCAGAGGAAGUGUCUCGGUGUUGCCUUGGCCCGUUCACCCCCUGCCAGGCCAGUAGAGGAGCUGAAGAGUCUUCGCCAUGGUUUGAGAAAAAGCUUAUAGAGGCCUGAGGCUGGAGGCAGGGGGAUCAGUGAGGAGGCUGCAGCAUCAGUCCAGCCUCUCUCCAAGUUCGCUCCAGGGCUUGCGAGAAACAAAGUGCUCUCCCUCAGCCCCAGCUCCUCGCACACCCAGUGGAAAGAAAACACUUGCUGUAAUUGGAAAGCCCCGAGAAGGUUGAGAGCACUUUUGUUUUCUUCAUCUCUGCGUCCUUAUUUCUUGGAACACUACCUGGCAAACCAUGGGUGCACCAUGCAGCAAGUUAAGGUCGCCGAAGUAGAAUUGCGUAUUAAGCCAGUGUCUCCAUCCAG